rnacentral:rRNA from 1 species
GGCCUUUUGAUUAUUAAUUUAAGGUCUAGCCUGCCCACUGAGGAAUUAAAGGGCCGCGGUAUUUUGACCGUGCUAAGGUAGCAUAAUCAUUAGUUUUUUAAAUGGAAGCUGGAAUGAAGGGUUGGAUGAGAUAAUAGCUGUCUCUAUUAAAGUUUAAAUGAAUUUUAUUUUUAAGUAAAAAAGCUUAAAUUUUUUUAAAAGACGAGAAGACCCUAUAGAGUUUUAUAAAAUUAUUAUUUUAAGUUUUUGGGAAUUUUAUAUUAAUGUAUUAAUUUUAUUUAGUUGGGGUGAUUGAAAAAUUUAAUAAACUUUUUUUUUAUUAUGACAUUGAUUUAUGAAAUUUUGAUCCAUUAUUUAUGAUUAAAAGAUUAAAUUACCUUAGGGAUAACAGCGUAAUUUUUUUUGAGAGUUCAAAUCGAAAAAAGAGUUUGCGACCUCGAUGUUGGAUUAAAAUUAAUUCUUGGUGUAGAAGUUAAGAAUUUUAGGUCUGUUCGACCUUUGAAAUUUUACAUGA